AGAGUUUGAUCCUGGCUCAGGACGAACGCUGGCGGCGCGCCUAACACAUGCAAGUCGAACGAGAGAUGAGGAGCUUGCUCUUCAAAUCGAGUGGCGAACGGGUGAGUAACGCGUGAGGAACCUGCCUCAAAGAGGGGACAACAGUUGGAAACGACUGCUAAUACCGCAUAAGCCCACGGCUCGGCAUCGAGCAGGGGGAAAGAGCAAUCCGCUUGAGAUGGCCUCGCGUCCGAUUAGCUAGUUGGUGAGGUAACGGCCACCAAGGCGACGAUCGGUAGCCGGACUGAGAGGUUGAACGGCCACAUUGGGACUGAGACACGGCCAGACUCCUACGGGAGGCA
rnacentral:rRNA from 1 species